UUUUCCACAAGUGUCACCUUUGGAUGGAGUUGGUAAGGCGCGGAAAUAAUCAUCCUGUAAUGGUGGGGUGGAGGGGAUAAACCCGGGCCAAUACACAAGUCUGCAGUCUGAAUACACAUCGACACAAUCAACAUGAGACCUGAAGAGGAAUCAGCGGGAAAUUGUUCAUUUGGGUGACACGCUGAUCAGGACUGCACACUUCUGUGGAUCCCCACUUCUGCUCAAAGAGAUUCUUUGGAGAACAACCAGAAUCAUGAAGACCCAGGAAGCCGGAAGCAGGAGAGAAAUCAUCGCCUCCUCUCUGUCCUGAUCUGCUGUGUGAGUUCUGUUGGAGAUGAACAUGCCAGCAGCACUCAGGAAAACACCACAGCCAGUUCAUCAGCUGACAGAGGAAAUCACUGAAAAAGGAUGAGGAACAGCUACUUACAUAGUUUUUGCCAGUUAUUGGACCUCAGUACUUCCUGGUUCUGGUUGCCUGAAUUUGUGAGAAGGGAAUAAGAUUUGAAAUUAAAUAGAACAUCCAGCAGCUUAAAAAGAUUUUUUGAUUUAUUUGGAACAUUGUGAAAGAUCCAAAACUACAGACAGUAUUUGUGAAGUGGAAGAAAACUGAUCUGUGGAUCUGAAAAUGUUUUACAAAGAAAAAUCUGAAAAGUGUCAUGUAUCUAUAUUUCGGUCGGGGAGAACGUUGUGGAGAAGUUUAAAGGUCAUAGUCUGCAACAACAUUGCAAGCUUUGAGCAUUUCCUGGAGCUCUGAUCAUUUCAUCACCUGAACCUGGACAGAGGAGGGGCCACCUGGACAGGUGAGCUGGUCAGAGCUGAAGGUUGAUGGAGCGAAAUCAAACCUUAAAGAAAAUCUGUGACAGGAUGGAGGAAACUUGAGACUAUGUUGGAGGUUCACUUUCCUUAACAUAAACAUCCAGCCAGAGCUGACAUGAAAAUUAAUGUUCAGAUCUGAACAUUAAUUCAGAUCUUCUGACUGAAUGAUCUUCUGCAACUUUACAGUAAAGACUUUGAGACAUUUUCAGUCUCUAGAUCUGUAAAGUUGGUGGAGUCAUUCCCACAGUUACAUGCAACUUCACUUGUAUUUACAAUGAGUUAAAUACAAAAGCUUGAACAUUCUGAUUGAAAUCUUAACAAAAUCCCUUAAAAUUUGUGGUUGUAAUGUGACAAACUGUGUAAAAGUGUAGCAUGUAAAAAUACUUUGUAAUAUUAUCUUGUCUAAUUCCCUGUUAAAUAUUGUCUUCUCUAUACUUAUUCGAAGCAGGAAAAUAACUAUUAAAUCAUGUUUUGAUGAAAUCAGCAGCUGUUCUGUCUGGAUGCCUGUUGGCGUCAUGAAGAUAAGAAAACCUGAAACCAAAUGAAUCUUCUUGAUUUAAAGGCCAGGUGGACAGAUCUACUUCGACUUCCUGAUUAUUCAUUCCUGUAUGUUUGUUGUUGCACAUUUCAGAGCACAAAUGAUAAUAUAGGUAAGAAGAGCUAAAAAGCAAAAUAAAUCUGAACUGCUGUGAAAAAGGGGGUGAAAAAAGUGAACACUCCACCUGGUUCUGCUACCUGCUGUCUCUGCUCAUGCACCUCUUUGAGCCCAUCCAGCAUUUCCAACCCAACAAGAACAGACGGUGUGGAGAGCGACUUAUUGGAUUGGAUCCCAUCCAGCAGUGACUUAUAUGCUCAACCUAUAUGUCACAGAUGGAUCUGAACAUCCACACAGACCUGGAGGGGAGAGGAGCCACUGGAUUCUCGUUCUGGCCAUAUAAGCUAAAAUAGAGAUGAUUCUUUUCAAAUAUUCAGUUUGUUUCAGGAGAUUUCCAACCACCAAUCGUCACCUGGGAGGGAUUCAAACACAAACAAGAGCUUUGAUUUAAUGGGCGGAUAUGACAGCAUUAAAGAAACGUAAGAUGUCUACAAUGUAAAACAGCAUCAGCACGUUUCAGAC